AAAAUGGAAAGGAGGAGUAAUGAAACACCCAGUACAGCAGGAUGGCAAUAGCUGUGGGGUAGUUGUCUGCAUGAUGGCAAAGGAGGUCAUGGAAGUGUUUCCUAAAACACCAACAAUGGCCUUUGGGACCACAAAAAAGGAGAUGGCGCAUCAAAGAAAAGUGUUGGCCAUGGAAAUACUGACAGCAUCAGUGUUUGACAAAGAAGUCAACUGUGCC